GAUGAAGAACGCAGCGAAAUGCGAUACGUAAUGUGAAUUGCAGAAUUCAGUGAAUCAUCGAGUCUUUGAACGCACAUUGCGCCCCCUGGUAUUCCGGGGGGCAUGCCUGUCCGAGCGUCAUUGCUGCCCUCAAGCACGGCUUGUGUGUUGGGCCUCCGUCCUCCUCCCGGGGGACGGGCCCGAAAGGCAGCGGCGGCACCGCGUCCGGUCCUCGCGCGUAUGGGGCUUCGUCACCCGCUCUUGUAGGCCCGGCCGGCGCUUGCCGACACAUCAAUCUUUUUUCCAGGUUGACCUCGGAUCAGGUAGGGAUACCCGCUGAACUUAAGCAUAUCAAUAAGCGGAGGA
rnacentral:misc_RNA from 1 species